rnacentral:rRNA from 1 species
CACGUAGGAGGCAAACGUUAUCCGGAUUUACUGGGCGUAAAGCGCGUGUAGGUGGUUCUGUAAGUAGGGCGUGAAAGCUCCCGGCUCAACUGGGAGAGGCCGUUCUAAACUGCAGAGCUAGAGGAUGGUAGAGGGAGGUGGAAUUCCAGGUGUAGCGGUGAAAUGCAUAGAUAUUACACAGAACACCGAUUGCGAAGGCAGCUUACUAAUCCAUCAUUGACGCUGAGGCACGAAAGCGUGGGGAUCAAACAGGAUUAGAUA